GACAUAGGUGGCAAACGUUAUCCGGAAUUAUUGGGCGUAAAGGAUGCGUAGAUGGUAGAAUAAGUUACUGGUCGAUGCCAAACUCAAUUUGACGGAAGCUGGUAAUACUGUUCUGCUCGAGGGCAGGAGAGGUUGAUGGAAUUCUGUGUGGAGCGGUGAAAUGCGUUGAUAUCAGGAGGAACACCUGCGGUGUAGACGGCUUACUGGACGGUAACUGACGCUGAGGCACGAAAGCGUGGGGGAGCGAACAGG
rnacentral:rRNA from 1 species